rnacentral:rRNA from 1 species
CCGAAAGGCGGACUAAUACCCCAUGGUAUCCGGCUUGUCCGGAUUAAAGAUUUAUCGCUCUGGGAGGGGCCUGCGUCUGAUUAGCUAGUUGGUGAGGUAAAAGCUCACCAAGGCGACGAUCAGUAGCUGGAUCGAGAGGUUGACCAGCCACACUGGGACUGAGAUACGGCCCAGACUCCUACGGGAGGCAGCAGUAAGGAAUAUUCCACAAUGGGGAAACCCUGAUGGAGCAAUGCCGCGUGCAGGAUGAAGCGUUUCGGCGUGUAAACUGCUUUAAACGGGAAGAUUAUGACGGUACCGUUAGAAUAGGGACCGGCUAAUUACGUG